rnacentral:rRNA from 1 species
CCUACGGGAGGCAGCAGUGGGGGAUAUUGCACAAUGGGGGAAACCCUGAUGCAGCGACGCCGCGUGAGUGAAGGAGUAUUUCGGUAUGUAAAGCUCUAUCAGCAGGGAAGAAAAUGACUGUACCUGAUUAAGAAGCCCCGGCUAACUACGUGCCAGCAGCCGCGGUAAUACGUAGGGGGCAAGCGUUAUCCGGAUUUACUGGGUGUAAAGGGGGCGUAGACGGCAGCACAAGUCUGGAGUGAAAUGCCGGGGCUUAACCCCGGAACUGCUUUGGAAACUGUGCAGCUAGAGUGCAGGAGAGGUAAGUGGAAUUCCUAGUGUAGCGGUGAAAUGCGUAGAUAUUAGGAGGAACACCAGUGGCGAAGGCGGCUUACUGGACUGUAACUGACGUUGAGGCUCGAAAGCGUGGGGAGCAAACAGGAUUAGAUACCCUAGUAGUC